AUUUAUUCUUCCACACUAAGAAUAUUCUGCUUUUGUUAGGUCUUCCUAUUUUCUCAAUGACACAAAUGCUAAAGUGCGUGAUUGUUCGAAGAAAAUUUCACUAACAAAUAAUAAUCAUCUUUAUAAUGACAGAUUUACAGCGUUGAAUUCGACAAAUUUGAAAAAAAAGACGAGAGCGUGGUGGCUAAAUGAUUCCGUUAGAGAAGGUAGAAACACCAACAAAAAGCUUUGAAGUUAAUGAUAGUAAAGGUAUGAAUUAAAAACUUACUUAUUCAUUUGUAAUUGUUAGCGUUUUUUUUUUAUUUAUAAUUUAUUUUCUAGAGGAGGCAGAUAAUUAUAAAAAUCUUUGCAGUUAAAGACAGUGAAAGUAUAUAAUAAUAAAUUACUUUACAAUUUGUUAGCGUUACCUUUUUAUUUUAAUGUAUUUUUUUUUUUUUUAGAGGAGGCAGAUACAAAAAAUAGUUUUGUAGUAAAAGAUGGUAAAAGUAGGAUUUAAAAAGUUACUUUUUCAUAAAUAAAUGUUAGCAUUUUAUUUUAAAGUAUUGCUUGUUUUUAGAGAAGGCAGUGAAGCCAAUAAAAAUCAUUGUAGUUGAAGAUAGUGAAGAGGAGGCAGAUAUUUAUAUAGAAAGCUCGGUAGUUAAAGGCAGUGAAGGUAUAUAAUAAUAAAUUACCUUUAUAUUUUGUUAGUGUUAGUCUUUUAUUGUAAUGUAUGGUUUUUUUC